rnacentral:rRNA from 1 species
ACUCCUACGGGAGGCAGCAGUGGGGAAUAUUGCACAAUGGGGGAAACCCUGAUGCAGCCAUGCCGCGUGUGUGAAGAAGGCCUUCGGGUUGUAAAGCACUUUCAGCGAGGAGGAAAGGGUGUAAGUUAAUACCUUACAUCUGUGACGUUACUCGCAGAAGAAGCACCGGCUAACUCCGUGCCAGCAGCCGCGGUAAUACGGAGGGUGCGAGCGUUAAUCGGAAUUACUGGGCGUAAAGCGUGCGCAGGCGGUUUGUUAAGCGAGAUGUGAAAGCCCCGGGCUCAACCUGGGAACCGCAUUUCGAACUGGCAAACUAGAGUCUUGUAGAGGGGGGUAGAAUUGCCAGGUGUAGCGGUGAAAUGCGUAGAGAUCUGGAGGAAUACCGGUGGCGAAGGCGGCCCCCUGGCACAAAGACUGACGCUCAGGCACGAAAGCGUGGGGAGCAAACAGGAUUAGAUACCCUGGUAGCGACUGAU